rnacentral:rRNA from 1 species
CCUACGGGAGGCAGCAGUGAGGAAUAUUGGUCAAUGGUCGGAAGACUGAACCAGCCAUGCCGCGUGCAGGAAGAAUGCCUUAUGGGUUGUAAACUGCUUUUAUAUGGGAAGAAUAAGGAGUACGUGUACUUUGAUGACGGUACCAUAUGAGUAAGCAUCGGCUAACUCCGUGCCAGCAGCCGCGGUAAUACGGAGGAUGCGAGCGUUAUUCGGAAUCAUUGGGUUUAAAGGGUCUGUAGGCGGGCUAUUAAGUCAGGGGUGAAAGGUUUCAGCUUAACUGAGAAAUUGCCUUUGAUACUGGUAGUCUUGAAUAUCUGUGAAGUUCUUGGAAUGUGUAGUGUAGCGGUGAAAUGCUUAGAUAUUACACAGAACACCGAUUGCGGAGGCAGGGGACUAACAGACGAUUGACGCUGAGAGACGAAAGCGUGGGGAGCGAACAGGAUUAGAUACCCUGGUAGUCCACGCUGUAAACGAUGGAUACUAGCUGUUUGGAGUAAUUUGAGUGGGUAAGCGAAAGUGAUAAGUAUCCCACCUGGGGAGUACGCACGCAAGUGUGAAACUCAAAGGAAUUGACGG